AUACGUAGGUGGCAAGCGUUAUCCGGAUUUAUUGGGCGUAAAGGGUGCGCAGGCGGUCUGUUUAGUCUGAGGUGAAAACGUUGAGCUCAACUCAAUUAAGCCUCAGAUACCGGCAGACUAGAGUGCAGAAGAGGGUUAUGGAAUUCCAUGUGUAGCGGUAAAAUGCGUAGAUAUAUGGAGGAACACCAGUGGCGAAGGCGGUAACCUGGUCUGUUACUGACGCUCAGGCACGAAAGCGUGGGGAGCAAAUAGGAUUAGAUACCCUAGUAGUCCACGCCCUAAACGAUGAUUACUAAAUGUUGGGGAAACUCAGUGUUGCAGCUAACGCAAUAAGUAAUCCGCCUGGGGAGUAUGCACGCAAGUGUGAAACUCAAAUGAAUUGACGGGG
rnacentral:rRNA from 1 species